UUGUAUCAUUCCAAUAAUAAUAAAAUUGGAAAGAUACAGAGAAGAUUAGCAUGGUCCCUAGGCCCAAAUGCAAGCAUGCAUGAUAGUGAUGUGUCGUUCGCUUUG